rnacentral:rRNA from 1 species
CCUACGGGGGGCAGCAGUGAGGAAUAUUGGUCAAUGGCCGGAAGGCUGAACCAGCCAAGUCGCGUGAGGGACGACUGCCCUAUGGGUUGUAAACCUCUUUUAUAAGGGAAGAAUAAAUGCUACGUGUAGCAUGAUGCCUGUACCUUAUGAAUAAGCAUCGGCUAACUCCGUGCCAGCAGCCGCGGUAAUACGGAGGAUGCGAGCGUUAUCCGGAUUUAUUGGGUUUAAAGGGUGCGUAGGCGGAUCGUUAAGUCAGUGGUCAAAUUGAGGGGCUCAACCCCUUCCCGCCAUUGAAACUGGCGUUCUUGAGUGGAAGAGAAGUAUGCGGAAUGCGUGGUGUAGCGGUGAAAUGCAUAGAUAUCACGCAGAACCCCGAUUGCGAAGGCAGCAUGCCGGCUUCCGACUGACGCUGAAGCACGAAAGCGUGGGGAUCGAACAGGAUUAGAUACCCUUGUAGUC